rnacentral:rRNA from 1 species
CCCUUAGUAACGGCGAGCGAAAAGGGAAAAGUCCAGCGCCAAGUCUUGACGCCCCAAGCGUUCAAGAGAUGCGGCGUUAAUGUAUUAUCGCAUCGUACAUUGUUGCCUGUUUCAAGUUCCCUUGACAGGGACAUCCAUAGCGGGUGCUAGGCCCAUAGAGGCAGACAACCGGUGUGCGCAGAUAAUGCAUUCUAGAGUCAGGUUGCUUGAGAGUGCAGCUUAAAGUAGGUGGUAAACUCCAUCUAAGGCUAAAUAUGACAGCGAGACCGAUAGCAAACAAGUACCGUGAGGGAAAGUUGCAAAGCACUUUGAAGAGAGAGUUCAACAGUACGUGAAACCACUGGGAGGCAAACAGAUGGAACCACGAAGUUGCGCCUCGCUCGAUUCAAUCAUUGUUUCCAGUUACCGGUUCUUGUGUGGAUCUUUUCGGAGAUUAGCAAGUGUCGUGGAACUGGUUACAGUGGUGCAUUUCGUGUGAGGAUGCUAAGCCACGUUCGAUUAGAGUUGGGACGGCCGUAGGACAGAAUUCGAGGAAGGUGACCGGAAAAUGCUUGCAUUUUUCGGUGUUAUAGCCUUGAAUUGGUACCGUCGCCUAACAAACUGAUCGAUAGAAAUUCUCCUUAGGAGUUGAACUGUGUCUGCCUGUAGCCGUUAGUUAACAUUUUGAAUUGUUCUUUACGUAUCUUUGGUGCGGAAAGGCUGUUCAACAAUGUUGGUUGAUGGCUGCUUGCGUGACAUGGUGGAACUGUGGCGCGAGUAGGUCGGUUUCCCUCUGACCC